rnacentral:rRNA from 1 species
GCCUGUUUAUCAAAAACAUGUCUGUAUGGUUGUUAUAUAGAGUCUGGCCUGCCCACUGAUAUUGAUUGAAGGGCCGCGGUAUCUUGACCGUGCGAAGGUAGCAUAAUCAUUAGUCUUUUAAUUGGAGGCUUGUAUGAAUGGUUGGACAAAAAGUAAGCUGUCUCAUCCACAGAGUUUGAAUUUAACUUUUAAGUGAAAAGGCUUAAAUACCCUAGGGGGACGAUAAGACCCUAUAAAGCUUUACAAUAACCAGAAUGCAUUAAGAUUUGUUAGUAUAAUUUGGUCUAUUUCGGGUUUGUUUCGUUGGGGCGACGAGAAUAUAAGUUAGAUAACUGUUCUUUUUAGGUAUACAAUAUUAAUUGGUUAAAAAUUGAUCCUUUAUUAAAGAUUAUAAGAUUAAGUUACUUUAGGGAUAACAGCGUAAUCUUCUUUGAGAGUCCAGAUCGACAAGAAGGGUUGCGACCUCGAUGUUGAAUUAAGGGAUCCUUGUGGUGCAGCAGCUAUAGAGGAAGGUCUGUUCGACCUUUAAAUCCUUACAUGAUUUGAG